rnacentral:tRNA from 1 species
GUGAGGUCGGUGGUUCAAGUCCACUCAGGCCUACCA